rnacentral:tmRNA from 2 species
GGGGCUGACAUGGUAUUGACGGGAUGGCUCUUGAGGUAUAAGCAUGCAGAGCUUUGUAUGAUUGGCUCUUAAACCUAAUUAUACAAAUUUUAUUUGGCGAAUCUAAUUACGCCAUGGCUGCCUAAUCAGAUUAGGUAAACCAUCGGUUCCCAAUGGCUUGGUUUUGGCUGCUAUUGAUUAGGAACUGUUCAACUACGCCAAGAUAUCCAAGGGCGAUGUUCACCAACCUGCGGAUUAUUGCGUGAACUAAGGCAAAUUGCAGGCCUGACACAAGCCUUUUUUUGCUCGAAAAACAAUUGUUUCUAAGCAUGUAGAAAAUGCCAUUCAACACCUUCUCCGGACCCGGGUUCGACUCCCGGCAGCUCCACUU